rnacentral:lncRNA from 1 species
AGUGAGGUUAGGUGUGAAAUCGGUGGAGGGAAGGAUUUGCAUGGUGGCGGGACAGGUAUUGUGGCCUUGGGAAAGCCAAGUUUGAAUGGAGCUACGAUCAUAUGUGACGCCGGUGCAGAGACUUACCGGAGACUUCAUUACGUCCAUUGAUAUCGGACAUCGGAAAAGGCUCGGAACGGUAACGUUUAAUUCUUCUCUCCUAUUUCUCAUCAUUUUUUGCUAUCCUUUCUAUUUUCUGCCUUGUGGGAAUAAUAUAGCUAGUUAUGUGGACGGUGAUUGUGCUUAUAAAAGGGAGAGUCAAAGUGGAAAGUGGUGACGUCGAUUUGGUCAACUAUAUUGGGUUUGUUUAAGUAAACAAGUGGAUUUCUUUUCAUAUGCAGCUAAGAUAAUGCGCUGUUUUUUAAGUGCAUUGCACACUAUCUUUUUUUUUUAAAAAAAAAAUUUCUCUUGGUUUAUUUAUUUUCUUGUAAGAUUAUUAAAAACGUGCAGAUGUGACAUGAAUGUUACUCCCUUCCGGUCUAAUUUGAUCGAAUAUAAAAUUUAAGAAAAAAGAAAAAAAGCUUUUAAAACUAGUGAUAUUAAAUCUGCCAUAAGAUUUUUUUAGUCCAUAAAAACAUGUCAUCUAGGAUAAAAUAAGAAUUUUAAAAUUAAUUUAUUUUAAAUAUAAAAAUAUGUAGUCUUUGUCAGUUAAAUUUACCCAAAUAUUCGAAAAGGUAUAUAUCAAGGACCAAAAUAGUUCCGCCCCUAUAUAUUAUACCCCUUACUUAAGGACCACUUUGAUCAUUUUCUCCAAGAAAGUCCGAUCAAUCUUUUAUAAUGCUUUUUGAGAUCUUAUUGUUGUAGGUAUGGAGAAGUUUAAGAAUAGAGAUUAUAUGAAGUGAAGAAAAAGGUACAUAUGUUAGGGAGCACUCAAUCAAUUGCCACUAAUUUUAUCCAUAUUAAUCAAAGAAUUGAUCCACAUCAAGUACAAUUAUGUAUGUUAAUUAGUGGGCUUAACAAGGUCCCUUUAAUUAUUAAUAAUAUAAUGAUAGACAUAAGAUGAUUAGGAAGUAUAUAAGAAUAUAGGGUAAGCGUGUAAAACGGGACAGGGGACAGCGAAGUCCAAGUUUUCGGGUUUGUUCAAGUGGAGCCUACACGUUGAAAUGAAGGGGCAUGAUUUUCUUGGUUUGAUUUUAGUAAGUCAAAGUGUCAAACACUUGAACUGUGGAACUCUGCUUUGAUUUUCAUGUUUAUUUUACUUUCCACGUAAUUGUCGAUGUAUGCUUUAAAGUUUAAGGGCUUAAGUUGUAGAAAUUGAUAGUGUUUAUUAGUUUAUAUAAUAUCAAAUUAAAUUAACCUAAUGACAAUAAAUAACUCUUCAGGAAAUUUGUUCAACGAUUUCAGUGUUAUGAAAAGUCACAACUUGCGGCAUUCUUUACUAACUUAACUAACUACCAGUUACCAUAAUAAUGAUCCUAAAUCUAGCUCCAACCCUUGGUCCGAAAUACAUCGGCAUUAAACUUAAUCAAGAAGGCAUAUAUGAUAGUAUUAGAGAUUAUAAUAGAACUUAUAAUUUACAUACAAUUACUAAUCUGACAUAAAGAAAUUUCUUCAUCUCUAUCCAAAAUAAGGUUGCUUGAAACUGAAGGAAGAUAUAUGUUAGACCAUAUAGACAUAUGGGUGUCUUUUCACUUAGUUUCACCUUACCAUACGGUAGCAUCUACUCUCUCUUCAAUUUUGUGUGAACUUCCACCCUAACUACACAAAGAUAGAGGAAUUAAUGUUUUAUGUCACAUGAACCUCCAUCGUACAUUAUGAAUACACUGCAUUAUUACAGACCGCACGUCUCUCUCUCUUAAGUUUUAAUAUUUUUUUCUAUAUUUCUUCGUAUUUAAUGCAUAUACUAGAACAUUUUUGGUUCAUGGAUGGAGUAAAUAUCUCCUGUACCAAGUGGCAAAGGAAUUAAAUAAAGAAACAUAAUAAAAUCAACAAAAAACUUACUCAUACGAUCACACUAUAGUUUUUACGUCAAAUCAAUGCACACGAAAAAUAUUUUUCACAGAUAACAAUUAUUGCUUAACUAUGAUAUGAGUAUUAGUUAAUCAGAUAUGUAUACUCACUUUAGUUUGUAAUUGUUAAAGUCAAAUUAUACUAUUUAGAAUGUAAACACUGAGUGUGGUUAAGUAUUUUCUGUAAAACCAACUAGAAAGGAAGGCACACAGGGGAUAGGNNNNNNNNNNNNNNNNNNNNNNNNNNNNNNNNNNNNNNNNNNNNNNNNNNNNNNNNNNNNNNNNNNNNNNNNNNNNNNNNNNNNNNNNNNNNNNNNNNNNNNNNNNNNNNNNNNNNNNNNNNNNNNNNNNNNNNNNNNNNNNNNNNNNNNNNNNNNNNNNNNNNNNNNNNNNNNNNNNNNNNNNNNNNNNNNNNNNNNNNNNNNNNNNNNNNNNNNNNNNNNNNNNNNNNNNNNNNNNNNNNNNNNNNNNNNNNNNNNNNNNNNNNNNNNNNNNNNNNNNNNNNNNNNNNNNNNNNNNNNNNNNNNNNNNNNNNNNNNNNNNNNNNNNNNNNNNNNNNNNNNNNNNNNNNNNNNNNNNNNNNNNNNNNNNNNNNNNNNNNNNNNNNNNNNNNNNNNNNNNNNNNNNNNNNNNNNNNNNNNNNNNNNNNNNNNNNNNNNNNNNNNNNNNNNNNNNNNNNNNNNNNNNNNNNNNNNNNNNNNNNNNNNNNNNNNNNNNNNNNNNNNNNNNNNNNNNNNNNNNNNNNNNNNNNNNNNNNNNNNNNNNNNNNNNNNNNNNNNNNNNNNNNNNNNNNNNNNNNNNNNNNNNNNNNNNNNNNNNNNNNNNNNNNNAUAUAUAUAUUGCAUUUUAUCUUGACCGAGGAGAAGGCAGAAUGGCUGUUUGCUCUUGUCUGUUUUGGUGGUUCAUUCAAUUAUCAUCAAAAUAAGUUGAUUAACAGGAUUCUUAUAACGUCACACAUCAAGAAUAAAUUUGAUACAUCAUAUCACGAUUCAUGAUGCAAACUUUAUCUUAAUAUUUGCAACCAAAAUAUGAAGAUAUUAAUAAAUUUUCAUAUAUAGGAUCGAAAAUUUUUAUCACUAGUUGUAUGAGGCCUUUUUUUUGUCUCACCAUUUUGUGGACCCAAAAGUGUAAGAUUGGAGUCAACAAAUUUGUGAGACAAAAAGGAGUCUCACACAACUGAACUAAUGUGUGAGGCACACAAUAAAACUUUUCGGAUCGAAAAUUUUUAUGUAUACUUCUUUAAACGACUUAAAAAAAAACAGUGCGAGAAAUUCAAUUUUAAACUAGUAUAAUCAGGACCAAAAUGUAAACGCGACCCAAGUUAACUUGUCUUGAUUCCCAAAGAGCUACUCGAAAUUUGAAAGGUUAUCGUCCUCCUCCUUUUUAAAAAAAAAUAAAUUGUUUGUUCUUUCUUUCUAACAUUUUGUAAAUUUUCUAGUCAAAAGGCGAUACAUGUUUUCUCGUAAUCAUGUUCGAAUCGACUUCUAAUCAUUUCAAAACUUGAAGAAAAUUAAUGUAUUUGCGUGACAAAGACGACUAUAAUCUAUAGACAAGUUUUCAACGAAUGGACGUAACGAUACAGACAGUAAAGCUUUUUAAAUUCCAAAUUGUGAGUUUCAGUCUCCAGAAAUAGUCAAACAAAUACUACAAAGAACUGUUCUUAGAUCCCUAGUCCCUAGACUUUUUAACAAUUGCAAGGUUAGCCCCUCUACUGGUUAUAUAAGAUCAUUUCAUUAUCUAUAUAUUAUCUACAAAAUGUGAGUUCACUAAUUUAGAUGAAGAAAUUAAGGAAUUAAAACUUAAAAGACAAGGCCAUUUCCUCUUUUUGGUGCUGCAGCCUGCAAGUAUGAGUUAGUCAAUAAGGUUAUAGAAAUUUCAGACAUCUAAUAACGUGGGGAAAAUAAUAGGGAUGACUUUUUUGUAACUUUUGGGGUAUUAAGCGAAGUGCCCAAAUAGUUGCAGAAAGUAGUAAUAAUAUUAUAAUAGUGGAGUCGCAGUUCCUUGUUGAAUUUCAAACUAGUAUCUUGGGCUAGAAGGUUUCAAACUUGGUGGGGGAAAAAACAGAAGAACAAUGAGUGCGUGUUUAGCGUGGGAGUGUGUGAAUAUUUGAAAAUCACUGUUCCUUGAAAGACAAAAUAUGAGUAUGUGAUAUGUCUGAUUCUUUGUGAGACUAUGAGGUUCAUUGACUUUGACUAAUUAGCAGUCCAAUCCAAUUUAGUCUAGCUUCUUGGAUUAUUCAAUCCGCGGAUUGCUGAUUCACACCUAAUCCAGACUCUCCUAAAUUUCUUGCUCCUAAAAUAACUUGAGAUUAUGUUCUGUCUGAUUAUCUUGCUCCUAAAUAUAACUUGAUUUUAUGCUCUUUGCGUUGAGAGCGCGCAAAAAUCCAUAUCGUGCAUAUGGUAAUCUAGAAAUAAGAGUUUAAAUUCUAUGUAAAAAAUAUUUAUAUAAUUCUUGCUAAUAAAUUCUUGCAUGACCUGCCAACGUAACCAAUCUCAUUAAAAUUGUGACUCUCUACUGAGGAAUGUUCAAUUUCCUCACCUAGUUAGGAUUUUAUUGGUUCAUUAGCUCCUUCAUUUCUUUUCUUUUUUGGCCUAUUUUAUAAUUCAGUUGCUUUGCUAGUAAUAUGAUUUCUCUGUCCUAUAUAUGCAAUUAUGUUUAUGCCUUUAUCAGUAAUCCGUUACGGGCACAAUACUAAAUUGAUCUGGAUCACACCUUUGAUGCUUCCUGUUUAUGGUUUGUUGAAAGAGUUAAAAUUACAUAUACUAAUGAUUUUAUACAAGUAGGCAAAUUCACGAUUUUAGGAUUUCAUUCAUUCUAUUUUUUAAGUUAUCACAUCAGGCUUGAUAUAAAAAUAUUCUUACAAGUCAACUUAAGCUCAUAGCCGACAAAGUAACUCUAAGUUAUCAUCAGGAGCAGAUCCAAUCCUAAUCCAAUAUUUUUAACACAGUGUAGAUUUUUAUGUGAAGACUUACAAUAAUUUCAACAAAUGCGUAUAAGAUUUGAACCCAUAAUAUUAAAAUCUGUGACAUCCUAUUCUCUACAGCUAUAAGUUCUUCCAAACAAUUUGGCCAAAAAAUGUCCUAAUCUCCUGAUCUCCACUCCUUUUCUGAAAUCUGCACAUGAGUUUCUCCUUUCUAGUCAGCUUCCCACAGCAGAUCAACUUUUUUCCCUUAAAUCUGAGUUUGAAGUUGGAACACAUAUGCCUGACACAAUUUUUUCUUUUGCAAAAGCAAUCCCUGAAAUAAGAAAGUUACAAACUUUUAGCAUAAUUUUUCAAGUAAUCAGGAUUAACAGUAGACAAAUAAAAAAUAUGACAUUAAUUAAUAUCCAGCUCUAUUUGUCCUGUCUACCUAUCUGAUCUAUGAAAGAUUCUUAGAAACAAUUGUGCAAUUCUUUGUUAAUACCUCCUGUAACUGCUGCCAUAAAUUUAUCUCUUAGUGGCCUGUAACCUAAUAUGUAGCCUUCUUUAAAUUCUGAAAACAUGACGAAUUCAAAUUGUGAAUUGACACUAAUCUCAUGCUAAAAUACAGCUCAGCCGAGUUUUUGCUUCAACAGUAGUAUGUUACAAAACUGCCUUAUAUAGCCUGUUUGGCCAAAAAAAAAAAAAUUAAAGUUGAAGUGUUUGGUCAAACUUUUAGAAAAAAAUAAAUAUUUUGAGGAGAAAUAAAAGCAGUUUUGGAGAAGCAGAAAAAUGUGGCUUCUCUCCAAAAGCACUUUUGAGAAAAAUACACUCAGAAACAGUUUUUAAAAGCUUGGUCAAACACUAAUUACUGCUCAGAAGUGUUUUUCAAAUAAAUUAGCCAAACACAAACUGCUUCUCACCAAAAGUACUUUUGAAAAAUACUUAUAAAAAUAAGCCGAUUUUUGAAGCUCGGCCAAACAGGCUAUUACUAUCAUUGAAUUUUUUUACCGUGGCUACUAGUUUUACACUCAGUAAAAUAUAUUUCCAUAACUUCGUGUAAUGAGAUGCAUAUUAUGAACCAUGGGAAACGUUAGAACCUAGGCUUCAAAGUUGUAAUUUCUCCUCGCCAAAUUCCAAGAAAGGUGAUAAAGUGUCAUCAGAGUAGAAGCCAAUAAUCCAAUAUAGAAAACAAAAUCCCAAAAGCUAAAUCAGACAAAAGGCCAGAUUUGACAGAGCAUGCAAAGAAACUUAACAAGUGGAAUGGAAGAUCCAAAGAUGAAACCAGAACAAUGAUGCCUUCUAUUAGUUCUGUUAUCCUUAAAUAUUUACUCUGUAUGUAACUAUGCUUUUACUAGUAGUGUCAAGCAGAAAGUAAUUUCAUAAUGAAAGCAGCAUGCUGGCGGUUAGGAUCGGGAAUCCGGGUAGUGUGGAAUUUAGCCAAACAACGAUAUAACGAUAAUAAUAAAGACAAUGGAAGUUGAUAACAACGAUAAUUAAAGCAUAUAAAGAAGACAUAAAUUUAACGUGGUUCGGUCAAAGUGACCUACGUCCACAAGCGGAGAAGAGCAAUUUCACUAUACCAAUAAGAGUACAAAAUUAGAGUAAAUACUCUAAUUAAUCCCAAAUACCCUAAGAGAAGAACCUUACAAGAUCACUCCAAAGAAAGGGUUCACACAAGUGCUUCCCAAUACUUAACUCCCAUACAAAACACUCUUAAUAAAUGAGGAAAGGAAAAAACAAAAAAUGAAGACUCAAGUCUUGUUGGUGUGUUUAAAAUUAACUAAUGGAGAUGUAAAAGAAGAGAUACAACUUGUGCAAAUGAUGUCCACCACACAAUGCAAUAUUUUUGGGUCCCAAAGAAUAUUGCCAACAAAGUCUACACUUAGCAAAGAUACUUAUGCUUAUGUGAGAUGGACUCCAUUAGCCAAAAUAUUGACCAUAUUACAAAUCUCCACCUUGGCCUAAUUUUGAUUAAUAUAGUAAAUUUGCUCCACCCUCUCCGCAAAAGCCCUAAUGGGCAUAUGUUAAAAUUUAACGCCAUCAAAAUCAGACAAGUUGUCUGAUACCGAAACUGUAGUAGGGCCAAUAACAGUGGAUCCCAAUAAAGUAUACAACGAACCAGAUCUGUGUGCUUUCAUAAUCACAAGAGCACCAUGAGAAACUUUCAGAACUCCACCUUCACUUGUGUACUUGCACCCAAGAGAUUCUAGAGUGCCCAAAUAGAUGAGAUUUUUCUUCAAGUCAGGAAUAUGUCUAACAUCGGUGAGAAUUCUCACCACACCAUCGUGCGUUUUGAUUCGGAUUGUACAUUUUCCAAAAACUUUGCAGGCAUCCAAUAGAUUCAUAUGUAGUAAAUAAAUCCCAAUUUGGACACAUAUGAUAAGAGCAACCCGAAUCUAAAAUUCACUCAUUAUUAGAUUUGAAACUAUUAUUAGUUGCUAAAAAAACAGUUCCCUCAGUCUCAUCAGCAGCUAUACUUGCUUCGGCAGUGUCAGUAUUUUUUUGCUCAUUUUUCCUUUCCUUAUGCUUUUCUUUAUUUUUCAGCUUAUAGCAUUCGGAGAUAAUGUGACAUUUCUUAUGACAAUAGCGACACUCUAAAUUAUUGUAUCUAGAUAUGGAAUCGGAUUUGCCCCUAACAAACAAGCCAACUUCCGCUUGAGUUCCACUAGCUUCCCCAGUAAUACUACUAUCUAUCUGUUCUUUUGAUUUUAAAUAUAUUUAAUAUCCUUAUAAGAGAUAUUAUCCUUUGCAUAAAUCAUAGUAUCUCUUAUAUGCUUAAAAGAUUGGGGUAGAGAAUAAAGCAGUAACACGGCUUGAUCCUCAUCUUUAAUUUCAGCAUCUAUAUUACUCAAAUUCAUAAGAAUGGAAUCAAAGGUGUAAAGAUGAGAGAGAAUAUAGGUACCUUCACCCAUACGAAUUGUAUAAAGCUUCUGCUUCAGGUAAAGUCUAUUUUCCACCAUCCUCUUCAUAUAUAAGGUUUUUAAUUUUUCCCACAUACCUUUUGCUGUGGUUUCUACAGAAACUUCACGUAAAACCUCAUUUGAGAGAUUUAAGAUGAUACCUGAUUUUUUCUUUUUAUCUAUGAUGGCAAACUCCUCGUCUGUUGUGAGCACCUAAUUUUUGCCCUAAUAUAAAAUUACUCAUAAAAGAUUCCAAAAAUAGCUUUAAAUUAUUUCUUUUAGUUUUUACUUAGUUUGCUUUGUACGUAUUCAUGUUUGAUGCAUUUUUUAAGUUGCAUUUUAAAUCCUAAAGAAAAUAUAAAAAAUAUUUUGAAUUUUUAUAUUUUUUAAAUUUUAAUUGCAUAAUCAAUUGCAUUUGUAAAAAACUAAAAUACCAAAAAAAAAUAUACAUUAGUAACUCUACUUGCAUUCUUAGGUUAGUUAAUUAAUUAGGUCAUUAGUCAAUUAGUGAGUAAAAUAUAUAUAAUAGUUUAGCCACACAAAUUGAUUUAGUCAAGCCCAUCCCUUUAGAAGCCCAAUUUUCAUGACCCACCUGGCCCAACCGGAUCCCCCCUUCUCUUUAAGACACCCCAUUCUCCCCAACCCUAAAAAAAAAAGAUCGGAGAAGAUCAGGAGAACGAUCAAAAAUAGACCCUCUCCACUUUGAGAACCUAGGCAGCGGCGCCCACCAAUUCUCCAAUCACUCACAUAUAAACACACACGCACUCACGUACAUGAACAUGGAGGGGAAACGGACGGAAAAGGGAUAGAGAUUGAGAGGGAUUAAUUCUUUUUUUUUAUAGAUAGAGUCAAAAGAAAGAAACGGGCAGAAGGAUCAUUCUCCUUUAGAAUCAUUCUCUUCUUUAGAGCAAGCAAACCUUUCAAUCCUUCCCAGAAAAUCCUUCUUCUUUCACUUAUGAUUAGUUUCAUCUUCUAAAAUUUGCAACUGAGAAAAUCCAUAAAGAUUCAUAAUCGGUGCUCCGGCGACCUUUCGGGUUUGUUUCUUCGAAAACAGAACUUUGAUCGAGUAUUCCAGUCUAAGCGUAGAAGGUCGAUUUGUCGUCGGCACGGGGUUCUGUUCGAUAUUCCGUCGUGUUCGUGUCCCUGUUAGCUUCUUUGGUCGUUGCUCAAUUUUUCGGCUGGAUUCUCGUCGCUUUUCAACUUAACAGAGCUAUAAAUUCAGAGUUCUAUUAAUUGAAAAGAAAUCUGCUCACUAAGAAGCAGAGAUUCCGAAAUUCAAAACUAAGAAAAAUCGAGAUUUGGGGUUGAGAUUUUGGGAACCCUUGCCCAGAUUUUAAAGCUGCUGAAGAUUACUGUCGUAGCUGUUUCUGUUUUGCUGAGCUUCGGUCGAGUUUUGCCGUUGCCUUUAGUCGGUUUAUUCGAGUUUUCUUUGUUCAACCAGGUUAGUUUGAAACUUCUCUGUAUUAUGCUUUUUUUAGUAAAUGAUUAAACAAUUGAGUUCUUGCGUAAAUUUGAAGAUCCGCUCGAUUCCUGAUUUUUGUUAUUCUUAUGUGUAAUGGAUGCUCAUUCCUCAGGUUAUUAGUGACUUUCUGCUAUUAUUUUGAUUUGGUGUUUACCUCUAUUUUUAACCGAAAUUUUGUGUCGUAUCAUUGCUGUAUAUUUCAUGUCCUAAUGGUCCUCAAGUGUUAGUGAAUACCGAGAUUCUAUAUUUAUUAUAUCAAUUCGUUUUGUUGAUUUCCUUGAAAAAGAUGCACAAAUUUUCAUGUGUUUGUCAUGCCUCCAUUAAUUGAUUUAGGUAGCUAAAUUGGAGAUUUAAUUUAGUGAUUGUUGAAGUGUAAAUAGAGCUUUGCCUUCAAUGGCUCAAUCGAGUGGGUUGUGGUUUACUUUUAAAGAACAGAACAGAGUUGGGCCUUCGGUAUAGUAUUUGGUCGAGAAAAUAUUUGGUUCAAAGGGAUCAUUUUAAUGAUUUUAAUGGUUUAGAGUAAGAAGUUAUUCAUAAGCUAGUCCGUCCCUUAUAGCUAGUAGAUAUCAAAAUGACAAAAAAAAAAAGAAUAGUUGUAAAUAUUUCUAAAUGUAGAUAACUUCUCAAUACUCUAAAUAAAUAAAAUAUUUCUUAACUUCCAAAUGCCCCUAUAUCCAUUAAUUAAUGACCUCACAACAAAUAUCAAAGUAAGUUAGCAAAAUAAACAACUCACGUACAUCGUAGUUUGCUUUAGGCGCGAUUAAUAAUAAAUCAUCGUGACUAUGGGUACGGUUCCCGUGGCAUGGUCACGAUACGUAAUCCCUAAUUCGAGUGUGCGUUUUACGUGACUCGACCAUAACUUUAAAUAAUAAUAAAUAAAAUUAAACACGUUGUAGAUUGCAGGUGCGUUUCACGUGACGUGAUUUGCGAUGUGUAUAAAAAUAAACGAGUGCGCGACAUCGCGACUUGUUCAAACAAACUCCAUAAACACUAAAAGCGGUUAAAAAGUAAAAUGCACAAUAGAUUUUAAACAUGUAAUAAUUCAGAUAAUCAAGCCAAGUAUUAAUUGUUAAGCGACCGUGCUAAAACCACGGAACUUGGAAGUGCCUCACACCUUCUCCCGAGUUAACAGAAUUCCUUACCCGGUCUUCUGUGUUCGCGGACUCUAAAAAUAGAGUCAAUUUCCUCGAUUUGCGAUUUAAAAUAAACCGGUGAUUUGGGACACCAUAAAUUAUCUCAAGUGGCGACUCUGAAAUAAAUAAAUAAUCUCAUUUCGAUUAAUGUCACUUAAAUUGGAAAAACUCCUUUAUUCCCCUAACUAUCCCAUCCCUUCGGAAAAAAGGAGGUGUGACAGUUGUCAUUUUAUCCGACUUCUUCUCCUUUCCUUGCAACGCCAAGUCUAAGCCAUCCUGAAUUAGGAUAGCUUCCAUCUUUAAUUACCACAUUCCGAAGUUUGCACUUCGGUUAAAUUUCUCAACAUAAGUCUUUGUUAGAGUCAUUUUGGCUAUUGAAACUAACCCAGUUAGAUCCGACUUUGAUAUUAAUUUGUUAGGAUCGAGAAUCCGGGUAGUGCGAAAUUUAGCCAAACAAUGGUAUAACGACAAUAAUAAAGACAAUGGAAGUUGAUAGCAACGACAAUUAAAACAUAUAAAGAAGACACAAAUUUAAUGUGGUUCGGUCAAAGUGACCUACGUCCACAAACGGAGAGGAGCAAUUUCACUAUACCAACAAUAGUACAAAAGAGAGUACAAAUUUAGAGUAAAUACUCUAAUUAAUCCCAAAUACCCUAAGAGAAGAACCUUACAAGAUCACUCCAAAGAAAGGGUUCACACAAGUAUUUCCCAACACUUAACUCUCGUACAAAACACUCUUAAUAAAUGAGGAAAGGAAGAAACAAGAAAUGAAGACUCAAGUCUUGUUGGUGUGUUUAAAAUGAACUAAUGGCCUUCCCUUUUAUAAGCAAAAAAGUUUUGGCCUCUUAGAUGUAAAAGAAGAGAUACAACUUGUACAAAUGAUGUCCACCACACAAUUCAAUAUUUUUGGGUCCCAAAAAAUAUUACCAACAAAGUCUACACUUUGCAAAGAUACUUAUGCUUAUGUGAGAUGGACUUCAUUAGCCAAAAUAUUGACCAUAUUACAGUGGCAAACAAACAGUCAUCGCAUAUCCCAUCUAGUAAUGGAAAUGGUGCACAUUACAAUUCAAAAAGGCUAAUCUUCAGACCGUAGAAAUAGCCAACUCUAUUCUUUUAAAGGAUUUGAACGAUUUCCAAGUUAGAGACACAAAAUAAUCAAAUUGGUACGUAGUCACUACGAUGAUUGUAUUGGUUAAAUAUUAUUGUGCAGUUAUUGUCCAAGUUUCACUGAAAAUUUGAGUAUGCACAAGUCCUUUUAAUUACUAGCUAAUACUAGUAGUAUAUAUGCCUAACCAAGAAAAUGUAUGGUCAUUAGCAAGGCGAUCGCGAGUAAUUUCAUCCUCGGAAUAAACAAGGUUGUAACUAAGAAGAAAUACAUACAUGUAGGAUGUAGAAUAUCACUUACUGUAUCAGCUUUACCACACAAGUAGCUCAACUCCAAUGCUAGUUUCUCCCUCAAAUUAAAGCCUCAUUAUUUUUAGGAGAGGAGAGGGGUUUAAUUUCUGUCCGCGUGACACGUAUAAGGUGAAGAUUUAUUUUACUGAUAAAAAUCGUCAACUUAGUAGUACUACUGUUAAUGUAGAAUAGAGGGUCGAAUAUUACAUUUCAUCUCUAUUUAAUUUUUAAAUGAUACAGUUUACUUGAAACAAAAUUAUACACUAGCAUAAAUUGAGGUGCGACUUAUAGUAGGAUUAAAUUAGCUAGAGUUACCAAGACGGAUAAAAACGUGCAUUUUUUCACUAUUCUAAAGAGCGAAGAUUGAAUGUAACAACAGAUAUGCAAGAUCCUAGGGGUAGCGUGCCCAACAAGACAAGCACUCCAAGGGGUUGGGGUUCGAUAACCCACUCGAUUUUUCACAUGCAAAUACCGUAAAAAUUGCACGAGGCGUCCUAUUUGAUCGCUCAUAUUUAACCUAUACCCAUAUUUUUAAAAUUUUUUAACUUAUACCCUAAUUUUGACAACUUUAGACGCCUUCUCUUCUUCCUCCUGACCUAUGCGCUCCUUUCUUCCUCCUCUUCUUUUCCUCUUCUUCUUUUCUCUCUCAAACACAUGAGACUUUGUAUAAGUAUUAUUGAUUGGAUCUGUAAAGUUUUUAUUAAAUCUUAUCAACUACCAUAUUCUAUGUUAAAGGACGUGUAAAUAAAACUCCACAAGCUGGUUAAAGUAGGUGUGAUUUGUGUCUUUCCCUGAUCUAUCCUUCUUAAACAUACAACAGCAACUGACUACUACAUGUCCUCUCUUCCAAGUUACCUGCCACAAGAAUGGCACACGCAUGUGAAAUUUAUUAUACACAAUAGUUGCUCUCGCGAUAUCUUGAAAUUAGCUUACACCUUACUUUAUGAUAUCAUCUGUAGGAAAAACGACAGAAAAGGGCUGCAGAACUGAAAAAUAAAAGAUAGGAAAAAUAACUUUAGAAUAUUAUAAAAAAAAUCAGUUAAAACUUCAUCACAAUUUGGCUUAAGUUAUAUUUUAAAGCCAUCUAACUUCAAAGAAAGGCAAAACACAACUUCAGCUCUAAGAAUGCUGAAGUUUAGCAAAUAUAAAACAAAAAUUUCAGUUCCUAGAAUGCUGAAGUUCAGCAAAUACAAAUAAAACUUCAGUUCCUAGAAUGCUGAAGUUCAGCAAAUACAAAACAAAACUUCAGCUCCUAGAAUGCUGAAGUUCAGCAAAUACAAAAUAAAACUUCAACUCCUAGAAUGCUGAAGUUCAGCAAAGACAAAACAAAAUUUCAGCUCCUAGAAUGCUGAAAUUCAGGAAUUACAAAACAAAACUUCAGCUCCUAGAAUGCUGAAGUUCAGCAAUUACAAAACAAAAAUUUCAGCCAAAACAUGCUGUAGUUUUAUUGAGGUGUAGUUUGCCAUUGUACUAUGAACUGAAGUUUGCGUGAUUGCCUUUGCAAGUCAGGCCAAACUUCAGGCAAAAAUAUCUGAAGUUUUGCUACACUUCAGGCAAAACAUUCUGAAGUUCAAACUUCAGACAUAAAAUUUUGCUACUUCAGGCUCGUAUGUCUGAAGUUACCCGAAAAGUGGGUACGCUUGUAAUUGAUUUUGCAAAGCGGGUAUAAGUUAAAAGUUGACCCAAAACUGGAUAUAGAUGCAAAUGCCCCGCAAGCACCCCUCUUCUUGUGGGCUAUUUCGGCCCAUUUCCUAGCCCUACAAUAUGUCUAAAUACUUGUACAAUAUUGCACCCGGUUGUCCUCUUAAGUAACUGAUCACUAAAAAUUAUUCUCAUUUUUAAAUUUAGGCUUUUUCUUCACUAAGGACAUCAGAAUUUUUUAACAAUAUUGAAAACUUAAAAUUCUUGUUUAGGGUAAAAUCUAGAAAUUAAUAAUUGACUAUUAUUAAAAUCGUUUGAAUAUUUAUAAUUUGUGCUUAAAGUUUUAGUUGAAUUCCUAAUUUAGUGAUUUGCUUUUAAAAAUUUUAAAACUACUGAUCCUUGAAAGUGUUGAUAAAGACAAAGUGGAUCUUCUUGAUUUGGUGUUAUUUGACAAAGUUGGUGAUUGGGGAUCAUUUAUGUUGGUAUUUGGAGGCUUUUAUUUUAAAUUUGAGAUCAUUUAGAGCAGAUUUGGAGUAGUUUGAUCGAAACUGAAAUUGCAAAUUUGAAGAACACUUUAUAACGCAACACAGAAAAAAUUAUGACAAUUUAUAGAUUUGGAUGAAUAAUUCAACAGAUAGGUCGAUUGCAGAUAACACAAAGUCAUGUUAAUCUAGUAGAGUUUGGUAAACAAUUGAACAAAUACAAAAUCAUACUAACAUGGCCGAGUUUGUGAAUAAUCUUACAAAUAUAUUAAUACAGGUAACACAAAGUCUUGUCACUAUGGUAGCGUUUCAUGAAUAAUUGAACAAACAUAAUGUCAUGACAACCGGGUAGAGUUUAUGAAUAAUUAAUAAUAUAGAUAGAGUAGAUAUAGAUAGGGUAGAGAAAUCCAAGACAAGUAAUAAACGUAUGUGGAUCUGGAGAUUUUUUUUAAAACAUUAAAAACGAUGACAUUAUUUAAAUAUCAGCACCUUACAGUUUGUUUGGAUGGUUGUUAUGUAUUGUUUCAUAAUGUAUCGUAUAUUAUUGUAUUUGUAUUAUACUGUAUCGUUUUGAUGUAUACAAUGUUUGGAUAUAUUGUAUUGUUUGACAUUGUUUCAUGAUGUCAUGCACCAAUAAUGUAAAGAAUAAACUUGCAAUAUUAUUUUAAGAAAAAUAACGUACGAGAUAAACUUAUUGUAUAAAAAAAUAGGGUAAAAGAUAAAAUAGGAUUAGUUUAUAAUAACAAGAUGAGAGAAAAAAAAUAAAGUAAUAACGUGUCUACACCAAAUAGAUCGUUCCAUAAAGUGGCACUUUUCACUUUUCGUUGUUACGUAAUAACAGAUUUAAUAAUACAAUACAAUAAAAUUCAAAUAACAAUCAAAACAUAUAUUGUAUUUAAAGUAACAAUAGGAUAUAAUACAACAGGUAACAACCAUCCAAACAAGUUGUUAAAAGGGUCAUUCUUGUCAAUCACACUCAAACAGACAAAUUGCAAAAAUAUCACCCGGUAUCCACUUAUCAGGUUGUUGUUUAGGUGUUAUCCAGCACUUACAAAUUAUUUAAUGUGUAGCCACAACUUAAAAACAAAAUAGAUGUUGUUUCUUCGUGUCCUAAAAUUCAAUUCUUUAGUUUAAAAUUUCACGACAGGAUGUCCUGAAGUUCGAUUUUUUAGUUCAAAACUUCAAGAUACUAUGAGUAUCCCGAAGUUUAGUUUUAUAGUUCAAAAUUUCAGGAUAUUGUGUUUUGAAGUUUAACGUUUCAGUUCAAAAAUUUAGAACAUUGUGUCUUUGAGUUCUGUUUUUCAAGUUUAGACUUCAGUGACGCUAUGUCCUAAAGUUUAACUUUUCUGUUCAAAACUUCAAGCCACUACGUCCUGCAGUUCGAAUUGUGUAGUUCAAGUUUCAAGCUUGUAUAUAUUUAUUUUACAGAAUAAUUAAAGCUAACAUUUUCAAGCUUUCAUUGUGAUUGGAAGAGGAGGAAUUCGAAUGAGUUUUGGGUCUUCGCAAUAAGAGAGAUAGCAAAAACAUUCGUUGUUGAAUGUGUAAGUAUGAAGUUGUGUCAAUUUUUGAAUUACUAGUGAAAGAAAAUAACUUUUUUUUUACAGAUAAUAUUAUGUACAAUGGGAAAAACAAUUAAGGGAUAUUAAAGAAGAAAAUAUAGAAAAAGAGAAGCACCAGAAAAAGUGAGAAAGAGAAAGAAGAGAAGCAGCUCAACUUAAAUGUCAAAUUUUCAUAGGGCACCCACUUUUGCGCCAUCCAUUGGAUUUGUACCCACUUUUCAAAAAAAGUUAAUUGAUACUCAAUUUUUGAAUAACUUAAUAUGCAUACACUUUUCUCUUCUUCUUUAUUGUUGUUUUCUUCUUCUUAAUUUGUGCUUGAGUUUCUUUUCUUCUUCUUAGUUACAAAAUGGCUUUGUUAAAUUUAUUGUUGUUUUGACAAUUUGAUGAUUGAUUUAUUUUUCAUGAUAUUUAAAAGUUAUGUUUCAAAUUUGAGCUCAUUUGGAGUAGAUUUAGGCAUUGAAUCGUGUAUUAGAUUGUUGAAAAUCGAAGAACAAGUUUUUGUUGCAGAACUUAAGAUUUGAAAUCUGAAGUUGCAUUCAAUAGAUUGAACUACUUAAGAUUCGAAUUUCUGAAUCUGCAUUUGAAAGAUAGAAGAACUUUAGAUUUGAUUUUUGAAGUUGUAUUGAAGAGGUUGAACUAUUUCAAAUUCGAAUUUCUAGAUAGAAGAACUUCAGAUUUGAUUUUUGAAGAUUGAACUACUUCAUAUCCGAGCUGCUACACUUUGCAAAAUUUUGUGCAAUACAAGUAUUACUUCAAUAGUGGCCCCAAAAAUGAGUAUAUUUGAAAAUGCCCCAACUUAAAUAGCAGCACCAAUGGCUAUCCGUGCACUUUCCCCAGACUUAUUUGGGCUUUGAAAAUUUGAGCUUCUUUGGCUGUUUUAUUUUGAGGGUAGCGAGGCCUUGAAUACGUAAAAGAGAAGGGAAGAGAUUUGUUGGAACGAAAAAACAGGCAGCAAAAAUUAUAUGAGUGACUUGCCAUGGUUAAAAAAGAAAAACCACUUGUCACUGAAUUUUCAAAUAUAUGAACUAUUCUUUUACAUAUGCGCCUUUAUAUUAAAUUUUAUCUUUAACUACAUCGUAAUCAAUACAAAUCCUCAUAUCAUUUUUAUAAUUUUAAAAGUGUAAUGAGCAAGUUCUAAUAUAUGAUAAUUCCAUUAUUUAAUUCGAUAUGGCUAAAUUCAUUUUCUCAUCAUAAAAAUAAUGUUAGUUCACCACAAUUAACUUGAAUAUCUUGGUGUCUUGGACUUAAAGAUCCAUAGCAGAAAAGAAAGCAGGAAGACAAACAAAAAGAUGAUAAUAUUAAUCUUUUCCUUUAAUUAUCAAGUUGAUUCACAUCUGUAUUUAUCAAAUCGAUUUAUAUCAAAGGGAAAGAAAAGGUAAUUUUUAUGUCAAACAAAAAGUAAUAAAUGGUUCGGACUAACUGUUAACUUAUUUAUACUAACCCUCCCUUUUGAAUUAAUUUAUUUAUACUUAAUAAUUUACAAUAAAUAUUUUAAAAUAUUUCCCAGUAAUGAAUAUCUAUUUUUUACAAAUUAACCAAGCAUUAGCUUUUAAAUUAAUCACAUAGCAUUGACAUUAUGUAAUUACAAAUAUAUUCACUAUUUUAGGAUUAUUAAAAUAAUUUCUAUACGUAAGUUCUAUAAUUAAUAAAUUACUCUUCAAUUUAUGGUUAAUUAGAUUACUACGUUAAUAACUCAAAAUUAGUAUUAUAAUUUAGAAGAAGAAAAAAACAAAGUAUUUUUAUAAAUAAUUGAUUGCAAUAAUUAGUAGUAUUUACUAAUUAUAAUAUUUACUAUAUUUUAUUGAAAAUAGUUUAAGUAUACUUAAAUUAAUUUCAAAAGGGUAAAAGGCUAAAGGGCUAUAAUUGUAACUCAAUUAAACAUAGGGUGACUAUUCUUUAAAUGAAUUUCAGCCCAAUUAUCAAGCCCAAAGCCAAAAUUUGACCCAGACCCAAUUCUCUUCUCUCCACCUUGGCAAUCUCCGUCACCUCUUCUGGACCAUUGAGAUCACGCCACAUCACCCGUAUCUCCCACUCACAAAGGAAACACAAACGAAUAUGGAUCGUUGGUCUAUCUAUCAACGGUCCGCAUUUAAUCUUUAUUUUUCUAUUUUUUUCUUUAGUCUUAUAAGACUCAAUCUCUGUCGUCCAAACCCAGAGAUCCGACGCCCCCUCAUAUUUCACCAUUUAAAAUGUUUUAAUCCUAAAAUAUUAGGACCUUUGAUCUAAAAGAUCAACGGCCCAAAUCAAUUCCCUCAUUCUUAACCUAGAGACCAGUUGGUCUCACUCAGAAACCCUAAUCAUUUCCCCACUCAUACGGCAGCCCUCAUUUCCUCUUUUGCUCUCUUUUCUCUCAAAUUGCCAUGAACAUCAAUCAACAAAACCUUGUACAAAUCCGUGCAAGGUCGUAAAAGCUCUCAUCAAAUCAUCCUUUCUUGCUAUCCUAGCCAGAAUCCUGCUGUUAUUUCCCCUUUUGUUCACUAAAUCUAGAUCAUUACAGUCUAAUCUCUUAAGCUUGAAACACCAUUCCGUCUUUGCUUUCAAAUCAAACUCAGAGAAUCACCCGUUUUGUCUCUGGGAUAUGAAGAAAGUUAUUUUCUUUCCAUUUUCGUUGAUAGAUAUUCAAAACCCCAAAUCCGAUAACCCUAGACCAAAUCGUGCAAGGGUCAAAUCUAUGAAAUCUCCUCUAUUUUGCUAAAUCUAUGGCAUGCAUGAACAUUUCUCAGGGUUAUCAUGAUUAUUCUUGGUCCAGAGGUCAAGCGAAGUGACCUCUGGACAUUAGUGCUCUUACCCGAUGGUUUUUGCCUUCAAAGGACUUCUCUCCUCUCAGGUAAACUCAUCAUUAUUCCCCCCUGUGUUCUAUGGUUUUACCUCUGCUUUGCUAUCAUCACUAGACCACAGUCUUUUUUCACUAUCUGAUUUGAAUCCUUUGAAACCCUAGAGGCUUCAAUAACCACUAUAAAUAGGAGCCUUCAAUUCUCUCACCUUGACACGACCAACCACCUAACACUGAAGAAAAUCACACACACAAACGAUAUCAGCCAUCUAUGAAAUUUUGAGUUCAAAGCCUUAGGUAUUCUUACUGUUUCCUUUCUUUUUAUUUGCUGAGUACUGUCGCUGGUGCAAGUUUGAGGUUUUUGGGGUCUUAAGAAAUUGAGAAAGAGCUCCCGUUUGGUCUGUUACUUUCAAAAAGAUCAGCAUAUCUCUCAUUCUUCACUUUUGUUCAUCUUUUUGGAUGCUACAAAUAUGAUCAUUAUACCCUGGGUAUUACAAUUAUUUUAUGGUGUUUAGUAUGUAAAUGUUUAUGUUCUGUUAGUUUAAUAUCUACUUGUGAUUGUGUGUCCUACUUCUGAGUCUUUAAUCGAUGAUUGAUUAAACUAUUAAUUGAUUCUUGCUAAUCUUUGUUCUCGAGUUUCCAACAGUCUACAUAUUUGAGUUAUUAUGUGUUCAUGUUCAUGUUCAUGUUCACAUGAACCUCAUAGUUAUUUUACUGAUAUGCAAUGACCUUUAUCCUUAUCUGUUUCAUCUCUGUAGUUUGUGAAUCUUGAAGUUGAGCUUAUUAUUUGAUAACCAUGACUGAAAUGAAUCUGAAGGUAUUUAAGUUCAUAUCCUAUGUCCUUUAACCUUAAGCAUAAACUCCCAGUGUUAUAUGUUUUCUUCUUUACUUAUGUUUGUUAAACUACUUCUGAGUUACCACUGUGGUCUUUUAUUUUGUCUAGUUGCUGUCACUUCUGUUGACCUAAUCUUGUUUGAAUUAAACUUUCUUAUCUUCUCCAGUAGUCUUACUGUACACAUUUGUUAAAAAUUAAUUUAUCCUUCCUCAUAACACAAACAUGAUCCUUCUUUACUUUGUUAUAAAAGACUGAUAACUUAGGCUGAACUUGAUUGUUUUCUUGAUUAGUUAACAUCUUCAACUACAUGCUCAAUCUUAAACUUACUUGGUAUCAUACCUACUGCCUCUAAUCUUUUAGGGUUAUCAUUGACCUUUGAAAACUGACAUGCAUUUUAUCUUUUAAGAUUGUCUUCCCUUAAAAAUAUCUAGUUACUCUGCUUUAACUAAGUGGUAACUUGUAAAAGGAGAAGCAUGAUCCUUUCCAUAUUUAUGUACUAACCUAGACUUAAGUUUUGAGUUAAACCUGUUCUAAUGCAAUAUCUUUCCUUUAUCUGCAACUCUCUCUCCUCAUGACAUGCUUAAUCUAAUUCUACAAAUGUGUAAAGUUUCCCCUAUCUACAUAAAUUAUUAUUGUAUUUGAAGUGUUCAAGUAACUAAUUGAAUACUGUAUGUUCCUGCUUAAUUUCUGAUCUUAUACCUUGUCCAGGAUCACUCCAGUCCUUUCUCUACUGUUAACUUUAAAACCAAAUCUGAUCCCUAAAAUCUCAUAAGGAUCUUUGUUGAUGCUAUAUGAACAUGAUGAUUUGUUUGAAGCUAACACUAUUAGGAGAAUGAUUUUGUAGGAACUAUUAGGAACUCAGCAGACCCAAACCAGCUUCGCAGUAUUUUCUGAAGAGUCCAGUCAGCUACAGCUGCUCCACUCCAUUGCUGGGCUUACCUUAUUGAGGCCCAACCAUCUGAGCCCAGUUCUUUCUCCCUUACUUCUUUCGUUGCUGCUCAUUAUUUCCAUAGCCUAGCUUACUGCUUCAUUAUUUUUCACUUAUUGGCUUUGUUGUUUUAUCAUAUUUCAUUAUUAUGUAUUCAACACUCAUAUAUUAGAUUAUAUAUUUUAUCCUCAUGCUUUACAC